GUCAUUGCUUGAUCAUAUGCUAAACAAGGGGUGGAUUAUUCAUGAGUUUUCUGGAAAAGGGGUGGGGAUUUUCUGGAACUGAGGGCUCCUCCCCCUUUUAGACUAUAUAGGGUCCCUUCCAGACGUCGUCAUGGCAUUUGUAAACUAUUAUGGCAUUGAUGGGAAUGUCUUUCAGUAUGCUAAUGCAUUACAAUUAUUUCAGUGCCAUCUUGGUUUUGAUACGUUUUGGUGCAUCUUAUUUUAUCAACAGGGUAUUUUCGAUGUGUAUCUUGUGGAACCAGUCCUGCCAAUCUCAUCCAGUGACUAAAAAUGCCUAACCUCCUGGGAAUGGAGGUCAAGCAAGUUUCAGCCUCAUUUUACACAACACCUAUUCAAGAUGGAGGUGCUCUGGUUCAAAUCACUCUGACAAGCAGUCACUACCCCUGCCCCAAAGCCAAGCAUUGUAGGGAAUCUUAUCUGGUAACAAAGAGUUGAUCUGAAGUGAUGUUUGAAAAUGAGUGGGGUGGUUGUUUGUUGAAUCAGUGAGACAAUGAGUAGGGAAUGAGGGAGACUGUCAUUUAAUUGGUAAAGACCAGAGGUGCUAAUUGUUCUGCAAUUCCAUAGCAUUUCACUCAGCAUUCCACAAAAUCAAGCAUGCUCCCUCCCGAAAUAUUCACAUCGCCCCACUGAGAAACUGCCCCAGAGCACCCUGGGGAAGCUCAGCUUUGCAUUCCCACUUCUAUUAGACAGCCUUUGUGACACACACACCUUGUCCCUGUGAACAUGGUGAAUGGAAAUUAUCUUCUCCACAUUAACUUUGAAUACAUGGGCCAAGGAAAUGGCCCUAGGUGUAUACCAGUCCUGCUUCUUUCUCACUCCUUGGCUAGAGAAAGAAAGAAUUUAGCAAAUUCAUCAUUAGUCAAGAAUAAGGGGCUGCAUUUUGUUUUAAAAAUCCUCUCCUUCCAUUUUCAAUUCUAGUACAGGCCAUAUCAGAAUUAUAAUUAAUGAAAUAAAUGUUAAUUCAAAUUAUCUAUAUUUAAUGAG
rnacentral:lncRNA from 1 species